UACGUAGGGUGCAAGCGUUGUCCGGAAUUAUUGGGCGUAAAGAGCUCGUAGGCGGUCUGUCGCGUCUGCUGUGAAAACUCAGGGCUUAACCCUGAGCUUGCAGUGGGUACGGGCAGACUAGAGUGCGGUAGGGGAGACUGGAAUUCCUGGUGUAGCGGUGAAAUGCGCAGAUAUCAGGAGGAACACCGGUGGCGAAGGCGGGUCUCUGGGCCGUAACUGACGCUGAGGCACGAAAGUGUGGGGAUCAAACAGG
rnacentral:rRNA from 1 species